UGGCACUGACCCACCUGAGAAGGCUGGGGAGGGUGUGGUAAUCAUGAAAGCUUGAAGGCCAAGACAGAGGAUCUUCAGGAAGAGGCAGAGCUCAGCACCUGCGUCUCCCAGUAGUUUGUGCCUCAGAUUUCUUGUUCUGGACGUCCUCCAUGCCUGUUUUCUGAAGCUACCUGGAAACCAGUGACUAUCCCAACAAAAAAUGUCUAAAAUCCUCCUGUAUUACUUAGGGUAAAAACUAACCCCAAAUUGCAGCUUGUUUCUAAUAAUACGAUAGUGUAGGCCUCUCUGACAUAACAGUCCACCUAAUCUCAGCUGGUGGGACAGCUCUGACCACAGGACCGUUCAUCAGCCCCAACCCCUUCCAUCCUGAUGUUGCUGCACCAUCAUUGUCUUUAUCUGCAUGGUCAAUGUGGGGUUACCUCCAAAUCUGUUUCUAUCCCACAGGAAUAAGAAACAGGGGAAGUUUAAGCCUUUAAAGGUGUUUGAUUUCUUCCCCCACCGUGGCCCACCUGCACAGGAGUUCCUCUUUGAGGGCAACAAGCAUGGAGGCUGAGAGUUAAUGAUUAGACCCACAUUCUUGCACAAAAGGAAACCAAAUCAGAACCAGACUAACCAGAGGAGGCUGAAGAAAAUUAAUAGGUGGCAGAAAACCUUAUAAAAAGAAAACAAGGGAACUUUGCUGCAGAACAACAGCCCUUCGAAUGUCCGAGUGGGAAGAGACAGAGAGCAUCCUGUCCAACCCCUCCUGUAUUGAAGUAUUCAUUCUUCCUUUCUCUGCUGUCUCAUAAGCAUUUAUAUCAGCUUUCACAAGCUUUCAGCUCCAAUUUAGAAGAGCCGAAACAGAAAAUGACCGUCUGUUGGUUACAGAUCUGAGGAUAAGCCCCGCCAAGGACGCCGGAUGUGUGCUCACGGACUGUCUGGGCCCGCUGCAUCGAAGGCUUCCCCACCUGGGAUUCCCUCUCAGGUGCUUAAAACCGUGGCUCCUGCCACCACCCCCACAAAGAGGCCAACAGCAGUGCCUGUGCUUGUACGCCUAAAGUGCUUUUUCUCAAAGCUGCAUAUCUUGUCAAAAUUGUUUGCCCACAUCACUGCAAUCUGUGUGCAGGGAAGCCUGAAACAAGUCCGCGUUUGGAAAGCAAUGGAAAGUACAAGAGGUUCUGAAAUUCAUAAGCCUGGGAAAGCAAUGAUUCAGAGAGAAGCUGUCUUCUCAGUUCUUCCAAAUUGAAAGCACUCAAGGCCAUAGAGCAGCUGCUGCUUGCCUAGGCUGGUUCCUAUUGACCUGACUUGACCUUGUGCCUCGUGUUUGAAUUGGGCCCCCAGCCAGGAAACCACAGCCCCCCUCCAAGACCAAGUCUGACCUACACACCUCUCCUCCUCCCUGCGGAAGGACAGCAGGGGAGCCAGGCCGCAGAGAGAGGGCUGAAAGUUGGGUCAAAGGAGUUGCUUUGUUAAAGGGUUAACACCAACGCAGUUAUCUGGGCCUCCUGCCUUCCCUUUCCGCUAAUCUGCUGGCUUCUCAUCCUUUACAUUUUAUAGUUUUUAGUUCCAAUUACAGGUGAUUAAUAAUUAAAUGAUUGCUAAUUCUUUUCGAUCCCCUGGAAGUCACGACAAUCUAAGCAAUGGUGGUACAAUCGUGGCCUGAGAGGGAGAUUGAGACAGACAGACCGAAAUUACAAUGUUUUCUUUCCUGUGUAAAAAUUAUAACAUUUACAAAUGAAGUGGGAUGUAGUUCAUAGUCUUCAAUCUAUAAACAAACAUUUUAUUCUUUUUGAAUUAUGUUUUUCCUCUCUUAUUUCCCAAGUAAUCUACAUGUUCUCAAGACAUGGGGAGGAGAAGAAAAGCAACCUUAUCAUUCAGGGAUUACGACCUUCCUUGGCUCCAACGAUUCAACUUUAAAUAUUUACUUGGCAGCUGAUUCAAAUUCAAAUAAACUUGCAGUUAUUGGGUGAAAUAAAGUGUGCCCCAUACUCAAAGCACUUAUAAUGUGUGGAAAUUUUUCAACUGUCCUAAUAUUUAUGUUUCCAGUUUGACCCAGAGUAAGUUGCGUCACUUAUUACAGAAUGACAUGAGGUUACGGCCAACCCCAAAGAUCUCAGUCAAGGAAUCUUCUCUGAUGCUGCAUUUGACUUCCCAGAGUCUGCAAAACUAAGUCCUUCCUGAAAAACAGUGAAUCUAUAUGAUAUGUGUGUGCGUACAGCUUGGUGACGAAUGCCAGGCGUAUUUCUAACAUUUCAGAACAACUCAAAGAACUAGCAACUAGAGAAACCUUCACGUAACCACCUCCACUUCAUAUUAAUUCUUCUCUUCGUCCUCCCUCAAAGUGAUUGGACUAUGUUAUCCUAUUCUUCUUGCGUUCCCCACUUUCCCUAGCAUAGAUUUUAUAUCUACAGAAGCUGGACUUUAACCGCUUUAGAGGGAGGAGCCCUUUACUUACAGCAGAUACUCAGCAGAUAUUUGGGAAGGAACAAAUGAACAAAUGGAUGAAUGAGUGAUUACCUGAUUCAGACAAAGUCCCUUUGCUAACGAGGUCUUCUUGCUACCUAUCUCCUUCACUCCUAGCUCCAAUAUUCUUUGGAAUUCCAAGGUUCUGCAUGCGUGGGAGAGUAUUUGGGUUUGGGGAGACAUCCAAGAACACUACCCACAGCAAGGAUCAGGCACAC
ensembl:lncRNA